CGAGAUCGCACCACUACACUCCAGCUUGGCUAACAGGGUCACAGGAACCUCAAGUAUUUCACAGAAUGAUGCCAAGGAGCGCCGUUUCUACACCAUCCCUCCGGAUCAGACCACAUCUAUUCCAAUCCCAGUCUCAAACACUUCCCCUUUUUCAACUCCCAUUAAUGAAUUCACUAAGUACUUAGCACUGAGAAUAAAAAAUUAAAGCAGCA